UGAAGUGAUUGUAGGGCGCAAUCACGUUAAUCAAAAAAAAGCCCAAUUUAU
ncrna:unclassified sequences 6A RNA